ACAAUGAUACUCCCGUCCAGUCACAGCCCUGUUAACCAGGAACACGCAAUGAGGGCGGCUCUGUGUGAACCACAGCUGGGGUUAGAUUCCCGUG
rnacentral:ncRNA from 1 species